AAGUUGAAAAUUAGGGCCGCUAACCUUAUACAUUGGUUGACCAAUUAACUUUAAAA
rnacentral:tRNA from 1 species